AUCGAAAGAAUUAUAUCCUAACAUUUGUUUAAUGUGUAUUUUAGCGAAAAAUAUGCGUGUAUGAAUUGAAACAUAUCUUUGAUACUGGCCACAAUUUGGCGGUGAGGCUGAAUUUUUUUUAAGGCUGUCUGCUUCAAAAUAAACUUUCAACUAAAAUUUGUUUGAACAAGACAGUAUACAGGUUAGUAGUACAAAUACAGAUGACUAGCUUUUACCCACUAGCUCGCGCGCGUGCUCAAGAAAAUGUGUUAGUGUAGUUUCCCGUGCAAACAUGUUCGGGAUGAAAGGUAAUGUCACUCUCCUGACCUAAUAUUAUCACUUUAAAAUCACGUCAAUCCGUAGGAUCGUUUUGACGCGAAAGAAGGACAAACAAACACAUUUUCACAUUUAUAAUAUUAGUAUGGAAGUAUGGAUAUUUAUAUGGAGAUGUUACAACACCAUUUAUUUUGAAACUCCAUUUUUUACGUUGGAUUUUAAUAGUGAUUGUUCUAAGCCCGUUGUCCGAGAAGAACUCAUUCUGUUUAGCUUUAUUCAAGUAAUCUUACAUGGUAUUUGUCCAAUGGGUUAUUAAUCUAGAACUACAGCCUCGAAAGCCCUAAUACCUCAAACUACUUCUACUUCUAUGUACCAUAUUCUCCUAACUAUACUCCUAAUUUAUUCUUUGAGUACUAGUAGUAGAUUGUGUAGUAAGCACACAUUUUACAUUGAUACUAAUCAUCAUAGGUAUUGUCAACACCAUUCGAGUAAUUUGAUUGACUUAAAAAUGGCGGAGCCGGAGAUAAGAUAGCGCCUACAGUUUCACAUCUCUCAUGAAGAUAUUAAAUAGUUUGUUUCUGUGUAGGGGAGUAAUCUCGGGAACUACUUAUGGGACACCUGUGUGAACUCAGCAUCCGUGCUUAGAAACAUCGUUCUAAUUUAGGUGUGUUCAAAGAUUUUCAUUAAUAGUGGAUAUUUGUGACACAAUUAGCCGGAAUGCCAAAAUUAAAACAACCAAAAAAUGUCGUGCCCACAUGCUUUAAAUUCUUUGGGAAUAAAACCGAGAAUCAUGCCUCCCACGAUCAGCAAUCUUACCUCACAUACCUUAUCUUUUCAUUGCCACUUCUAACGGCCGUUUUCAAUAACCUAUCUAUCCCUAGUUUCGGUUACUAAAGAUAGACAAAUCUAUAUUUUUGUCCUUACUUACGUUCCAAUAACCUAUCGACGGGCAGCAGUUCCUAUCGGAUUUAUCUAUCCAUCGUCGGGAGGACGGAUAGCCAGCUAAAGAUAGAACGCUCAUACAAAUCGUGCUUACUUCCGUUUCAAUAUGAGUUUUAAGUAACUCUCCGGUAGGCGGCGCUAUCUCUAGUAUGGGCAUUCGCUUAUCUGUCAAAAUCGGCCGGUUACAUGUUUAUCUUUCGAAAGUAAAUCGCUAUAAUUUAAUAAUUGUUUCUCUUCAUAUUGGCAUAUUGUAGCAGUGAUGAUAGUGAUAUGGAAUUAUUUCUAAUGAUAAUGGAUUGUGAUGCAGAUAGUGAUAGUGAGGCCGAUAUCAUAUGGUUAGGAAAAUAAAGAUCGUCUGAAUUACAUGGCGAAGAUCAAUAAUUACGAAUUUGACUAUAGAUUUCUGAGCAAAGGUGUUGUGAAUGAAUUGAUUAAUUUAAUGAGACCAUAUUUGAGUGUAACGUCAAAAAGGUAAGAUAAAUUUUAACCAUAAAAGUACUCGUUAUUACAACUUAUAUUUGUUUAUAGCAAUAGCAAAAUUAUACCUAAUUUUUGUUGUGUUACAAAAUCACACUCAACAGGAAUUCUAUAAUACUGCUGGAUUCCCAUGGUGCCCUAAAUGACAUUCAUAUACUAAUACAAUAACCUGGUAGGCUAUUUACCUUCAUUCUUAUUACACACUGAUACCUCUACAUUUUAUAUUUGUGUUACAGAUUCAAAUAUAGGAGAGGAAUUUAGAAAUAGAAAAAGAGUAUUUUGAAUGUGUAAUUUGUGUGCAAUGCAUCAUUGAUGUUUCAAAAUGUUGUUGCUUGAUGGCCUGGGUCUACUCAUGAUACAACUAUAAUUAACCAUUCCGAUUGAAAAGAUGCAUUGGUGUUUGUAAAAGAAGACUCCCUGUACAUCAUUGAAAAGUAGAUUAAAACUAGAAAAUAUGCAAGCUGUUAUUAUAGCUGCCAUGCUGCAUAAUAUCGUUAGAAGUAUGAAUUUAGAGGAAUUAGAAUCAGAAAUUUCAGUCGCAGAUACAUUACAGGAAAAUAAUAUAAUUGUUCGUAACAAAUUUUCAAAACUUACAUCUGAAAUACAACUAUGUACUUAUAAAUAAUUGCUUCCAAAGAUAAUUUAUAAAAUAAACUCCAAAGAUAA